CUACGGGUCGCAGCAGUGGGGAAUAUUGCACAAUGGGCGCAAGCCUGAUGCAGCCAUGCCGCGUGUAUGAAGAAGGCCUUCGGGUUGUAAAGUACUUUCAGCGGGGAGGAAGGGAGUAAAGUUAAUACCUUUGCUCAUUGACGUUACCCGCAGAAGAAGCACCGGCUAACUCCGUGCCAGCAGCCGCGGUAAUACGGAGGGUGCAAGCGUUAAUCGGAAUUACUGGGCGUAAAGCGCACGCAGGCGGUUUGUUAAGUCAGAUGUGAAAUCCCCGGGCUCAACCUGGGAACUGCAUCUGAUACUGGCAAGCUUGAGGCUCGUAGAGGGGGGUAGAAUUCCAGGUGUAGCGGUGAAAUGCGUAGAGAUCUGGAGGAAUACCGGUGGCGAAGGCGGCCCCCUGGACGAAGACUGACGCUCAGGUGCGAAAGCGUGGGGAGCAAACAGGAUUGGAUACCCCUGUAGUC
rnacentral:rRNA from 1 species